CGCGUAGGAAUCUACCCAGUAGCGGGGGAUAGCCAGUGGAAACGCUGAUUAAUACCGCAUACGCCCCACGGGGGAAAGGCCGGGAUCUUCGGACCGGUCACUAUUGGAGGAGCCUGCGUUGGAUUAGCUAGUUGGUGAGGUAAAGGCUCACCAAGGCGACGAUCCAUAGCUGUUCUGAGAGGAAGAUCAGCCACACUGGAACUGAGACACGGUCCAGACUCCUACGGGAGGCAGCAGUAGGGAAUAUUGCACAAUGGGCGAAAGCCUGAUGCAGCCAUGCCGCGUGUGUGAAGAAGGCCU
rnacentral:rRNA from 1 species